rnacentral:rRNA from 2 species
AUGCAGUCGAGCGGACAGAUGGGAGCUUGCUCCCUGAUGUUAGCGGCGGACGGGUGAGUAACACGUGGGUAACCUGCCUGUAAGACUGGGAUAACUCCGGGAAACCGGGGCUAAUACCGGAUGGUUGUUUGAACCGCAUGGUUCAGACAUAAAAGGUGGCUUCGGCUACCACUUACAGAUGGACCCGCGGCGCAUUAGCUAGUUGGUGAGGUAACGGCUCACCAAGGCAACGAUGCGUAGCCGACCUGAGAGGGUGAUCGGCCACACUGGGACUGAGACACGGCCCAGACUCCUACGGGAGGCAGCAGUAGGGAAUCUUCCGCAAUGGACGAAAGUCUGACGGAGCAACGCCGCGUGAGUGAUGAAGGUUUUCGGAUCGUAAAGCUCUGUUGUUAGGGAAGAACAAGUGCCGUUCAAAUAGGGCGGCACCUUGACGGUACCUAACCAGAAAGCCACGGCUAACUACGUGCCAGCAGCCGCGGUAAUACGUAGGUGGCAAGCGUUGUCCGGAAUUAUUGGGCGUAAAGGGCUCGCAGGCGGUUUCUUAAGUCUGAUGUGAAAGCCCCCGGCUCAACCGGGGAGGGUCAUUGGAAACUGGGGAACUUGAGUGCAGAAGAGGAGAGUGGAAUUCCACGUGUAGCGGUGAAAUGCGUAGAGAUGUGGAGGAACACCAGUGGCGAAGGCGACUCUCUGGUCUGUAACUGACGCUGAGGAGCGAAAGCGUGGGGAGC